CUGUAAAUAUGGUACACAUGAUAUAUAAUUGUGGAAAAGAUGCUGAAGAUGUCAACAUG
rnacentral:snoRNA from 1 species